GGGCCCGUAGCUCAGUUGGGAGAGCGCCGCCUUCGCAUGGCGGAGGUCACGAGUUCGAGUCUCGUCGGGUCCA
rnacentral:tRNA from 3 species